rnacentral:rRNA from 1 species
GACAGAGGGUGCAAACGUUGCUCGGAUUUACUGGGCGUAAAGCGCGUGUAGGCGGGCGACUAAGUCGGAUGUGAAAUCCCUGGGCUCAACCUAGGAACUGCAUUCGAAACUGGUCACCUAGAGUGAUGGAGAGGAAGGCGGAAUUCCCGGCGUAGAGGUGAAAUUCGUAGAUAUCGGGAGGAACACCAGUGGCGAAGGCGGCUUUCUGGACAUUUACUGACGCUGAGACGCGAAAGCGUGGGGAGCAAACAGG